UUUAAGAGCUGUAGUGCUGAUCAGAGUGUGUUCAGUGCUUUCAGAGCCACUGACACGCAGCACAAUGAUGAUGGUACUGAUUCUACUGCUGGGGACACUGGGACUCCUCGCUCACCAGUCCUUUGGGGAAACCGUCCUGACUCAAUCUCCAGGAUCUCAGUCUGUUUCUCCAGGACAAUCUGUUACUCUCACCUGUACAUCCAGUCAGGGUGUUAGCUAUUACCUCGCCUGGUACCUGCAGAAACCUGGAGAAGCUCCUAAACUCCUGAUCUAUUAUGCAUCUAACCGUCAGUCUGGGAUUCCAGAUCGUUUCAGUGGCAGUUAUUCUGGUUCACAAUUUAGUCUAAAAAUCUCUGGAGUUCAGUCUGAAGAUGCAGGAGAUUAUUACUGUCAGCUGGAAUAUGUCCCGUACGCACAGUGUUAUAGCGCCGUACAAAAACCUCCCUCAGCUGUAGAGGAAGUGCUCUGACUCAGAAACACACACUGAUCUGAGAACAGCUGCAGAGCUGCUAAAGCUGCACUCUACUGAACAUCAUCAAACGUGUUGAUGUUUAAAACAUAAUCAUUCCUGAAAAGCAGAAAACUCUUCAUCAGCUGUUCCUUCUGUGAUGAAAAAUCAGCUGAUGUGUGUAAUGGUAUAUGAUGAUUUCCACCUUCUGCUAAGAGGAGCAGUGUCUAUAAUAAUA